CCCGCCCCGUCCGGCAGCGGCUUCGCUCCCUCCGAUCCCCCCCGCGCCCAGGACCCCCGGCCCCACUGUUGCGCCAGCUCGCCGGGUCUGGCCAUGGGCCCCGCCGCUCGCCCCGCGCUGAGAUCGCCGCCGCCGCCUCCGCCGCCGCCCCCGUCGCCGCUACUGCUGCUGCUGCCCCUGCUGCCGCUGUGGCUGGGCCUGGCGGGGCCCGGGGCCGCGGCGGACGGCAGCGAGCCGGCAGCCGGGGCGGGGCGGGGCGGAGCCCGCGCCGUGCGGGUGGACGUGAGACUGCCGCGCCAGGACGCUCUGGUCCUGGAGGGCGUCAGGAUCGGCUCCGAAGCCGACCCGGCGCCCCUGCUGGGCGGUCGUCUGCUGCUGAUGGACAUCGUGGAUGCCGAACAGGAGGCGCCGGUGGAAGGCUGGAUUGCAGUGGCAUACGUGGGCAAGGAGCAGGCGGCCCAGUUCCACCAGGAGAAUAAGGGCAGUGGCCCGCAGGCCUAUCCCAAGGCCCUGGUCCAGCAGAUGCGGCGGGCCCUCUUCCUGGGAGCCUCUGCCCUGCUUCUCCUCAUCCUGAACCACAACGUGGUCCGAGAGCUGGACAUAUCCCAGCUUCUGCUCAGGCCAGUGAUCGUCCUCCAUUAUUCCUCCAAUGUCACCAAGCUGUUGGAUGCACUGCUGCAGAGGACCCAGGCCACGGCUGAGAUCACCAACGGAGAGUCCCUGUCUGCCAAUAUCGAGUGGAAGCUGACCUUGUGGACCACCUGUGGCCUCUCCAAGGAUGGCUAUGGAGGAUGGCAGGACUUGGUCUGCCUGGGAGGCAGUCGUGCCCAGGAGCAGAAACCCCUGCAGCAGCUGUGGAACGCCAUCCUGCUGGUGGCCAUGCUCCUGUGCACAGGCCUCGUGGUCCAGGCCCAGCGGCAGGCGUCACGGCAGAGCCAGCGGGAGCUCGGAGGCCAGGUGGACCUGUUUAAGCGCCGCGUGCUGCGGAGACUGGCAUCCCUCAAGACACGGCGCUGCCGGCUGAGCAGGGCAGCGCAGGGCCUCCCAGAUCCGGGUGCUGAGACCUGUGCCGUGUGCCUGGACUACUUCUGCAACAAGCAGGCUAGUGCCCCGGUGGCUCCGGGUGCUGCCCUGUAAGCACGAGUUUCACCGAGACUGUGUGGACCCCUGGCUGAUGCUCCAGCAGACCUGCCCACUGUGCAAAUUCAACGUCCUGGGGAACCGCUACUCCGAUGAUUAGCUGCCCAGCUGGACUCUGCACAUGGGGAUGGACCCUUCCUGCCUGCACCCCUGUCCUCAGCCUGGGCUCCCAGGACAGGACAGGAUGGGACAGCAGGAUAGGCAGGACAGCAAGCCCAGUGGGUGGGAGGAAGGAUGAGGGCCCCACCAUGUCCACACUGGGAAGGAGGGCCCCACAGCUGCAGGCUGCGGAUCUAGGGCUGGGACCUGUCAGUCAAGGAAGAGAGGUCACUUUGGGACCUCUGCAAUCCCGUGAUGUGAGUCUGCCCUCCUCACAGGCAGUUCCCAGGUCAAUAGGGAAAGAGAAUAUGGGGCCAGUGUAGCUGUCGCCAGGGUUCUGGGAGUUCCCUGUGGCCUGUCUGGGAAUCCCUGGGGGCUGGGACUACAGUGGCCAGGUUUUGUGCUUAUUUAUUGGGGGGUGGGUUGAGGGAAGAGCUAUCUGGCCUUGGGGUACCCUGGCCUGACCGUCUUUCAGGAUACCUCUUGUCAAGGCUGUCUGCCUGUUGCCUUUGGUCCUCGAGCACUGGGAGCCAUGGGUCCCACUGCCUGUCCAGCCUUCCUGGGCCUGGCUAGGACCAGAGGCCUUAGAAACCAUCCUGUUCUGGACUCCUUGGCUGCGGCUUUGUGUUGCCGACCGGGAUACUCGAAGCCACAGGAUCAAUGUGGUGCCUCAUCCAGGGGCAUCCAUUUUUUUUUUUUUUUUUAAAGAGUUGGAGUAGGGAAGGUUUAAUAGUAAAAUAAACGUGGCUAUAUUUUAACAUAAGAUGUAAAA